GAUGAACGCUGACAGAAUGCUUAACACAUGCAAGUCUUUGGCGAAGCUGUGCUUGCACAGCCUAGCCAAGGCGGACGGGUGAGUAACGCGUAAGGAACUUGCCCUGCAGUCAGGGAUAACAGACGGAAACGACUGAUAAGACCUGGUAAAGUCAGGCGGACUCAUGUCCAGCCUGAUGAAAAGGGCUGCUGCAGGAGAGCCUUGCGUCCUAUUAGCUUGUUGGUGGGGUAACGGCCCACCAAGCCGAUGAGAGGUAGCCGGCCUGAGAGGGUGGACGGCCACGAGGGGAAUGGGAGGCAGCCGUUACUCCUACGGGAGGCAGCAGGGGGGAAUAUUGGACAAUGGGGGCAACCCUGAUCCAGCAAUUCUGUGUGCACGAUGAAGGUUUUCGGAUAGAAAAGUGCUUUCAGCAGGGAAGAAAAAAAUGACGGUACCUGCAGAAGAAGCGACGGCUAAAUACGUG
rnacentral:rRNA from 1 species